UACCAGCACCCCGAGUGGUCGGGACGUUUAUUGGGCCUAAAGCAUCCGUAGCCGGUUCUACAAGUCUUCCGUUAAAUCCACCUGCUUAACAGAUGGGCUGCGGAAGAUACUAUAGAGCUAGGAGGCGGGAGAGGCAAGCGGUACUCGAUGGGUAGGGGUAAAAUCCGUUGAUCCAUUGAAGGCCACCAGUGGCGAAGGCGGCUUGCCAGAACGCACUCGACGGUGAGGGAUGAAAGCUGGGGGAGCAAACCGG
rnacentral:rRNA from 1 species